GUCGGAUAUAGGUCUGUCGUGUCUCUGAGCCAGACUCCAGUACAGUAGGUGGCGUUAAUGCACAAUUGAACAAAAUUUGGAUGCUACCUGCCACUAAACACCAAUGAAGAAAAAAGAAGAAAAAUACAAACAUGCAGCCGAAUUUGUCUGGUGCUUCUCUUUUGUCACGCUCUAAAGGAAUCAGUUUGUUUCCUCAUACUAAAAGAUGACUACAUCUAGCUUUGGUACUUACCUCCCAGGGAUCUGCUGUCCUGCUGGUCUCAUCUUUGCUGAGGACCACUUUGAGGUGCUCCUACCAGGGCCAGGUGGAUGUUUGUGUGGUGGACUCUCCUCAUACUCAGAAAUGGGUGUGGGACUUUGCCCACAGCUGCUAUGUCUGAAAGGUCCCUUCCCCCGUGAAAGUAUCUGCUUAGAAAAGCAUUGGACAAGAGGAAAGGACAGGAGAGGAAUCUCCUGAUGUUGUUAGAUUUGCGGACCAUCUUCAGUUGUCACAGAAAGUACUUGAAUGGUCGAGCAUGAGGUGUUAUCCAGAACACCAUAUGUUCGAGGAUCAUCACAGAGGUGGAGUAGGCCAUGCAUGUUAUAUGUAAUGUACUCUGCCGUACAGUUUCCUAAAGUUGUGUAAUACAAAUAAACCUAGCAGGCUGUCAGGAUAGUGGAUGUUCAGAGAGAAACUCUCCAGAAGAUGGUCAUGGCUGCACAUAGGAGCAUGACGUUUUGAUAUCUUCACAGCAACCUGAACGUCGUCUUGAUGACCACAUCUUGGUCAUAUCUCGGAGCUGCUGUACCUUAAAGGAACGUUAUCCACACCAAAUAAUGCACCUCCCUCGAUGAAACAUGCUGGAAGCCACUGUGACCUUUUGUUUUUCUUAUAAAUGCAUGGACUGGGUCCUCACACACAAUAGCAGAAAGGUGUGUGUCACAUUACUGAAUGUGAAAGCAUUCAGUAAUAAUGAAUGCUUUCUGUUUCCAGCUGAAGAUCUUAAUGAAAUAAUGUUGAAAAUGAAAAUAAUAACCCCAAUAUUAAAAAGUUAACAAAGAUUAUGCACCUUUCAAAUAUGUACCUCCAUUACCCCCUUGGGAAGGAUUGUAAUUGGUUGCAUGUGUGUAUAUACAUUUCUGCAUAUUUAACUUCAUACUCAAUGUGUCAGCCCGGCAAAUAAAUGUUUAAACGUAAGCUGCUGUCUUUUUGAAUUUUAUUUAAGUUAUAAAUAACUGGAUAAUUAUGGAUAGCUUUAUAUUUAUCCUUUUUAGUACAAACACAAUUGUCCCAUGAUUAACAGAAGUUGAGCACUCCAGACUUUGGUAAUAAGUAUGAUGGUAUGGUAUAGCAAUGUGAAGGUCAUAAUAUAUACACAUGCAUUUUGUUCAAUAUAAAAAAUAUUUCUAAAUGUUCAUUUCAAUAUGCUAUGAAAAAAGUGAUGGGACUAUAAUGAUUUCAGUCUCCGCUUGACUACACACUUUACAAAUUACAAUACGAUUAACUUAAACAGGAAAAACAGGCAUAAUUUUGU
rnacentral:lncRNA from 1 species